AACGAACGCUGGCGGCAUGCCUAACACAUGCAAGUCGAACGAGACCUUCGGGUCUAGUGGCGCACGGGUGCGUAACGCGUGGGAACCUGCCCUUAGGUUCGGAAUAACUCCCCGAAAGGGGUGCUAAUACCGGAUAAUGUCUUCGGACCAAAGAUUUAUCGCCUUUGGAUGGGCCCGCGUUGGAUUAGCUAGUUGGUAGGGUAAAAGCCUACCAAGGCGACGAUCCAUAGCUGGUCUGAGAGGAUGAUCAGCCACACUGGGACUGAGACACGGCCCAGACUCCUACGGGAGGCAGGAGUGGGGAAUAUUGGACAAUGGGCGAAAGCCUGAUCCAGCAAUGCCGGGUGAGUGAUGAAGGCCUUAGGGUUGUAAAGCUCUUUUACCCGGGAUGAUAAUGACGGUACCGGGAGAAUAAGCUCCGGCUAACUCCGUG
rnacentral:rRNA from 1 species